rnacentral:rRNA from 1 species
UAAGCAUAUCAAUAAGCGGAGGAAAAGAAACCAACAGGGAUUGCCCUAGUAACGGCGAGUGAAGCGGCAACAGCUCAAAUUUGAAAUCUGGCCCCCGGGUCCGAGUUGUAAUUUGUAGAGGAUGCUUUUGGUGCGGUACCUUCCGAGUGCCCUGGAACGGGACGCCAUAGAGGGUGAGAGCCCCGUCUGGUUGGACGCCAAUCCUUUGUAAAGCUCCUUCAACGAGUCGAGUAGUUUGGGAAUGCUGCUCUAAAUGGGAGGUAUAUGUCUUCUAAAGCUAAAUAUUGGCCAGAGACCGAUAGCGCACAAGUAGAGUGAUCGAAAGAUGAAAAGCACUUUGAAAAGAGAGUUAAAAAGUACGUGAAAUUGUUGAAAGGGAAGCGCUCAUGACCAGACUUGGGCUUGGUUGAUCAUCCAGGGUUCUCCCUGGUGCACUCUUCCGGCCCAGGCCAGCAUCAGUUCGCUGUGGGGGAUAAAGGCUUCGGGAAUGUGGCUCCCUCGGGAGUGUUAUAGCCCGUCGUGUAAUACCCUGUGGCGGACUGAGGUUCGCGCAUUCGCAAGGAUGCUGGCGUAAUGGUCAUCAGCGACCCGUCUUGAAACACGGACCAAGGAGUCGUCUUCGUAUGCGAGUGUUCGGGUGUCAAACCCCUACGCGUAAUGAAAGUGAACGCAGGUGAGAGCUUCGGCGCAUCAUCGACCGAUCCUGAUGUUCUCGGAUGGAUUUGAGUAAGAGCAUACGGGGCCGGACCCGAAAGAAGGUGAACUAUGCCUGUAUAGGGUGAAGCCAGAGGAAGGCUUCUGGUGGAGGCUCGCAGCGGUUUCUGACGUGCAAAUCGAUCGUCAAAUAAUGGGCAUGGGGGCGAAAGACUAAU